rnacentral:tRNA from 1 species
CCGUCGAUAGCUCAGUUGGUAGAGCGGUGGACUGUAGAGGUUUAUCCCAUGCGGACAUCCAUAGGUCGCUGGUUCGAAUCCGGCUCGACGGA